rnacentral:tRNA from 1 species
AGUUAAUGAACUUGUAAAGUGUAUACCUUGAAAGUAUAAAAAAGGAAUAAAAUUUCCUAUUAACUU